rnacentral:miRNA from 1 species
GAAGCAUGCUGGGAACUGUAGUUUGCUAAGGGCGCAGGAAGCUGUAGGUCGGCGAGGUCAGCUCCCUUAGCAAACUACAGUUCCCAGGAUUCUUC